GUCCUCCACCAACACAAGGGGGAUCUGCCCCUACUCACCCACCGCCACCAACCUACAUUGUUCUCCACUGUCCACCACCGCCUUGCUGCUGCUGCCCCCAUGGAUGAUCGUCAUCCGCAUCCGCACCGGGACACAAGUCUUGUUCACCAUCAUCACUUGAAGGUCGCAGAUGCACCCAUACAUGAUGAUGAUCAUCACUUGAAGGUCGCAGAUGCACCCAUACAUGAUGAUGAUCAUCACUUGAAGGUCGCAGAUGCACCCAUACAUGAUGAUGAUCAUCACUUGAAGGUCGCAGAUGCACCCAUACAUGAUGAUGAUCAUCACUUGAAGGUCGCAGAUGCACCCAUACAUGAUGAUGAUCAUCACUUGAAGCUCCUAGAUGCCACCGCCCCUCCAACCCCAAGGGAUCACGCCAUUGCUGCUGCUGCUGCCCACCAACAACAAGAGUUGCCCACCCAUGGGCUGCCAACCGGAUCAACCCGGGAUAAUCGUGCUGUCCAACCUCAGGAGGUGCAGCUGGAGCAAGGGGUCGUUGCUCUUGCUGGAGUUGGUCUAGCCACACAAGAUGACACUGCUGUUGACCGGGAUGCAACCAUACAUGAUCAUAAUUAUGCCAUUGCUGUCGAUGCUCAUCAUCAGGAGCAGGUGAAGCCACUGCUGGAGCAAUGCACUAGCACCUCUACCUCUUGUGAAGAUUUGGGAACACCAGCCAUGGACAAUGAUGAUGACGCGGUGCAACUUCAAGAGGUGAUGGAGCAGCAACAUGCCACCCACCCAAGGGAUGAAUAUAUUGCUGCUGAGGAACAAUCAGAGAUGUUGGAUCGUGAGCUGGGAUCAACUGAGAAGGCUGAUGCUGUGCCAGUUCAAGAGGCGGCGGAGCAAGGUCUCGUUGGCACAGAUGGUGAAAGCGCAGAUGCCACUGCUGUUGAUGGCCAUGACAUGGCAGUGGAGCAAUGCGUCACUUGUCAUGACUUGGGAACAACCACGGAGAACGAUGGUGCCAAGGAUGAUCAGGAGCAAGGUGUCAUUGACCAAGGGGAUGCGGCCAUAGAUGGUGACAAUGAUGUCAAACAUCACAAGGUGCUGGUGCCAGGUGCCGUGGAAGGAACACACACUUCCUCAGAUGACAUUGCUGUUGAGGAUCAAGGAAAGAAUGUGGAGCAAUGUACCACUUAUGACGUCUUGGGAACAACCAUGAAGAAUGAUGAUGCUAUUGCUGUGGAUGACCAGCAGGUGGUGGAGCAAGGUGUUGUCGAUUUAACCACCAUUGAUGAUGAUCCUUCUGUCGAAGAACAAGAGGUGGUGGAGCAAGGUGUUGUCGAUUUAACCACCAUGGAUGAUGAUCCUUCUGUCGAAGAACAAGAGGUGGUGGAGCAAGGUGUCGUCGAUUUAACCACCAUGGAUGAUGAUCCUUCUGUCGAAGAUCAUGAGGUGUUGCAGCAAGGUAUCAUUGGUGGAACCGUUGACAUUGCUGUUCAAAAGCAAGAGAAGCCUCUGGAGCAAUGUUCAAGAGCAACUAAGGACGAGUACACCGCCAAAGAAAAGGAAAUGGUGGUGGAGCAAGGUGUCAUUGACCCAAAGUACAUGGAUAUUGCCAUGGAAGAUCAGGAUAAGUUGUUGAUCAUAGACGACCAGGAUACAGUGCCCAUGGAUGAUAUUGUGGUGAAAGACCAUGAUAAGGCAGUGGUGGAAUAUGCCAGUGAUGCAAUAGUCUCAAUCAAGGAUGAGAGUCCUGUGGAGGAACAUGAUACGGUGGGGAGUCAAGGUGUCAUCGAUAAAAAUGGCAGAACCAAGGAUGAUAUUGAUGUCGAGGGACAUGGCUAUGUAAAGGAACUGGUCAUCAUUGAUAAAUGGGGUACAUCCAGUGAUGCUGCUGCUUUGGAAGGUCAGAAGAAUGAGACUGAGCCAUGCAUUGGUGAUGAGCAGAUAGCAGGCAAGGACAUGGAUGGUGUUCAUGCUGAGGCGAACAUGUUGGAGCAAAUGACCGGGGAUAAACAGGGAGCAACACUGUCUGAUUUCGCUGUUGAUAAGCACAAGGAUGUAGUGGAGCGUGUCCGCCAUGAGUGGGGUGCACCUGAGAAUGAUCUUGCUAUGGACACGGCAGCUUACCAAGGUACCAGAGAUUGGGGUAUAGUUAACAAGGAGAAGUAUAGGGCGCCUGCUAGAAGAUAUCCACAAAAGCCCAGAAAACUUAACUGCCCCUCUUACAUGUCAAAAGGGACCUGCACAUACGGGCCCUCAUGCCACUUCAAUCACCCACCGCAGUUUAACGCUAAGACAAAUGAUUCAUGGCGUCCCUCUGAACGAAGAGAUCAUGGCGCUGCAGAAAUUCUGGAACUGAACCGCCUUGGCCUUCCCAUUCGAGAAGGAGCAAGAAACUGUGACUACUACAUGCGAACUGGUGCUUGCAGAUAUGGCAAAAACUGUCAUUUUAACCAUCCAGACCAUGUCAUUGAUGCUCGGUUCAGUUCACCAACAGGGUGGGAGGAUAAUGCUUUGGAAACGGAGAAAUCUUCUGACCAUGCAUUAACUGAGGCAUCACACAUGAAGAAAGCUUCCGAUGAUGCGACCUUAAAUGACAGAUCACACUUGAAGAAAUCUUCCGAUGGUGCGACCUUAGAUGACAGAUCACACUUGAAUAAAUCUUCCGAUAAUGCGACCUUAGACGACAGAUCACACUUGAAGAGAUCUUCUGAUGGUGCGACCGUAGAUGACACAUCAUACUCAAAGAAGUCUUCUGACCAUGACACGUCAUCUACCUCCGGUGUCCUGCCACCAAGCAUAUUUAGAAUGCUUCUACCUCCCCAAAAAGUACUGCCUAGUACGGAAGGAAAGGCGAAAAAGAAGUCAGAUUGGUCAUCUGCUUCAGAUGAUUCCGAUGGUUGCUGUUCAGCAGAUAGCUCAGAUGGACCUUUGUGCAAGCAGGAGGAGCACGUGGAUUACCCCGAGAGGCCUGGCAGACAAGAAUGCCCCUUCCUUGCGAGGUAUGGUGAUUGCAAGUUUGCUUCAGCAUGCAAAUAUCACCACCCAAAACAGUCAAAAGAUAAAGAACAGGUAAACUAUCCUGAGAGGCCUGGCAGACCAGAUUGCCCCUUCUACAUGAGAUUUGGUGAUUGUAAAUUUGCAUCAGCGUGCAACUAUCACCACCCGAAAGAUAAAUAUCCAACCGGGUUACCUGAGGAACCAGAAUGCCCAUUCUAUAUGAAGCGUGGGUUCUGUAAGUUUGGGGCACAAUGUAAGUUCUAUCACCCAGAGGAUGCAAAUCCUACCAUGCAGAGCCCAACAGAUGCAAAAAUAUCUGUUACCAUGGAUAAACAUCAUCCAUCUACAAGAAUCACACCAGAAGACCAUGUGCCCCAGCAACCGCAGUAUCCUGAGAGAAGAUCUGUUACCACUGAUGAUCAUCAUCCAUCUAUAAGAAUUACCCCAGAAGUUCUGCCCCAGCAGCCGCAGUAUCCUGAGAGACCUGGUCAGCCAGACUGCCGGUACUACAUGCAGUUUGGGAAGUGCAAAUAUCUGUCUGCAUGUAUAUUUCACCAUCCAAAAGAUAGACUUGCAGCUAUGUGGAGUCCCUCAGAUCCAGCUCACUCUGAUCAGAUUGGACCUAAAAUACAUGGCAUGCCAGACUGCCCUUUCUAUAUGAAGUCUGGGAAAUGUCAAUUUGGGUCGCUAUGUGAAUUUCGUCAUCCCAAAGAUAUAUAUUCAACUACAGAGGAAGCAUUUGGUGAGAGGACUGGCUCAGGUGCAUACGACAGUUUGACAAGGUCAGAUAAUGGUGUGGAGCAACAAGAAGGGAGCGUCAUGUAUCCUGAAAGGCCUGGUGAACCCGAGUGUGCCCACUACAUGAGGCAGGGCUACUGUAAGUUUCAGAUGAACUGCAAGUACCAUCAUCCAGGAGACCGUCUGUCUAAGAAACCGUAUUACGACUCGACUUGCUACUGAACUCGUCCGCACCGGCCACUUGAGCAAAGCAGGGACACGCUGGUUACCGCACGAAUGCUACCAACGGCGAGCAGCAUUGUCUUGAUGUGUGACCAGGUGGUGUUAGAGCAGGCUGGCUCAAGGAGGCGGUGCGUGUGAGUGUGUCUGAUGACUGAAGAGGAGAGAGUAGGAGGAUUCUGAUGAACCAGAGCCUGUAGCUAAUAUAAUCGUGGUCGUUUUUUGGGGAUUCAUGUCCGCUUUGAGCGCGUUUGAGCUGUGUUGCUAUCGGUUAUGCGCUCGCAGCAUACUACUGUAUUUGUGCGGAGCAGGCAAUCAUGAAUUGCGAACUGUGAUGUUGGCAUGACUUGAAGUGAUUUCUGUCUAGCUAGCUAGCAAGCAAGGUGUAGCAUGAACACCGAUGAGAUGAGAUUACUCCUUUUAUAUAGUUUGACACUUGAACGAA